rnacentral:rRNA from 1 species
UACAGAGGGUGCGAGCGUUAAUCGGAAUUACUGGGCGUAAAGGGCGCGUAGGCGGCUUAAUAAGUUAGUUGUGAAAUCCCUGGGCUUAACCUAGGAACUGCAACUAAGACUGUUGAGCUGGAGUGCGGUAGAGGGUAGUGGAAUUUCCGGUGUAGCGGUGAAAUGCGUAGAUAUCGGAAGGAACACCAGUGGCGAAGGCGGCUACCUGGACUGACACUGACGCUGAGGCGCGAGAGCGUGGGGAGCAAAC